rnacentral:rRNA from 1 species
ACAAACGCUGGCGGCGUGCCUAACACAUGCAAGUCGUACGAGAAAGGGUCCUUCGGGACCUGAGUAAAGUGGCGCACGGGUGAGUAACGCGUGGAUAAUCUGCCCUUCAGUUGGGAAUAACUCAUCGAAAGGUGGGCUAAUACCGGAUAAUGCUGUGAGACUUUGGUCGAUCAGCCAAAGAGAGCCUCUGCUUGCACGCCCUCGCUGAAGGAUGAGUCCGCGUACCAUUAGCUAGUUGGUAGGGUAAUGGCCUACCAAGGCGACGAUGGUUAGCUGGUCUGAGAGGAUGAUCAGCCACACUGGAACUGAGACACGGUCCAGACUCCUACGGGAGGCAGCAGUGAGGAAUCUUGCGCAAUGGGGGCAACCCUGACGCAGCAACGCCGCGUGAGUGAGGAAGGUCUUCGGAUCGUAAAGCUCUGUCAGUUGGGAAGAAACGCUUGGAAGCCAAUACCUUUCAUGCUUGACGGUACCAACAGAGGAAGCACCGGCUAACUCCGUGCCAGCAGCCGCGGUAAUACGGAGGGUGCAAGCGUUGUUCGGAAUUAUUGGGCGUAAAGAGCGUGUAGGCGGCCGGAUGUGUCAAAUGUGAAAGCCCUGAGCUCAACUCAGGAAGUGCAUUUGAAACUGUCCGGCUCGAGUAGGGGAGAGGGAAGUGGAAUUCCUGGUGUAGAGGUGAAAUUCGUAGAUAUCAGGAGGAACACCGGUGGCGAAGGCGACUUCCUGGCCCUAUACUGACGCUGAGACGCGAGAGCGUGGGUAGCAAACAGGAUUAGAUACCCUGGUAGUCCACGCCGUAAACGAUGUUCACUAGGUGUUGGGGGUA